AACGCCGCACUUAAAGAGCCCCUAAGAGAGAUGGCAGAUCGACAGACGAUCCUCUGCGAAGUCAAAAAAAAAAAAAAAUACGAGGUCAACUAGCAGAGCGCCCUCUGGUGGGGGCGCUAUGUUUACCAGCCAAGAUCGGGAGAAGGAGGCAGCGAGGCUGGCUCGGAGCAGCCUCAGGCAUUGCGUGAGGUUACCGUUACUACGUGUGUUCAAUGGGACUCCGUGAUGGUCGCUGACCGCCCCACGACCGCUGGAGGAACUAAACAAAAAAGUCAGCCUUUGAAUCACAGAGGUAAUUGUCAAAUGUACACAGCACGAAAAAAAAAAGGUGAGGGCGAACGGCGGUGGCGCUCGAGUCACAACAGGAAACAGGAUAUCCGUUUGCCGAUGACAUUGCUAUUCAGACCCCCACUUCCACCCUGCUUUUCUUCUUGGAACUCACGUCUCAGCAAAGCGGUCACAUGACAAAGUACAGACUUCACAGGAGACGGCUCAUCGUGUUCUUCAUUGUUUUUUUUUUGUGUGUUUUGUUUUGUUUUGUUUUCUAAAUUCAUUUAAAAAAAAAAGAAAGGUGAUCAAGAAUGAUCAGUUAACAAGGCAUAUAAAAUGAGAAAAAAAGGUGCGUGCGUAUGUGUGUGUGUGUGAGGGGAAAUGAAAGAUUGGACUGAGGUACCCUGAAGCCUGAGGUAGAUCACAAUACUGACAUGCGCACUGUUUACAUCCUGCGGUGGUUCACGUUGACUGUUCUCCCAUUUUUUUCUUUUUUUUCUCUUUAUAUUCGUUUUCAAGAAAAUAAACAAUUCCCUUCAAAACAAUAUGGCAGUGUCCCACUGAGGGCAAAAAAUAAAGAAAAAAGAAAACAAAGAGGACUUUUCAUUUUCUUUUGUUUCAUAUCAAUAGCUCUCAUCACAAAAUAGGAAAAAAAUAGAUUCAUAAAUAUUACUCUCUCUUUAUAUAUAUAUAUAUAUUUACACAUGCGCGCGCACACACACUCUCACACACACACGCUCGCGCACACAGAGGAAGGUGUGGCAAUAACCUUUGCGAUGAAGAGUGAUAAAAUAAGGCUUUAGAGUGACCCGCACGGCCAGCACAGGAAAUAAAACUCAAGGUCACGGUGUUUGGCCUGCUGAACAAGGCGAGGGCUGC